GGAGGCCAGUGAAUGGCAAGACUAGGAAUAACUGUACUUUGUAUAUAAAAAGAAUUUUUCAUCUAAGUGAAAAGACUUAGAUAAUAAAGGAAGACGAAAAGACCCCGCGGAACUUUACCUUUUCCUGUACUUCCGUCUACAAACUUUAAAAGUACAUGAGGUUUGAUUGGGGCAAUCUUGGAAUCAACAAAGCUUCCAAUUUAUUUUAAGCCAUAUUAAAAAUUUAUUAAGGACUAAAAAGUAGUUACCCCGGGGAUAACAGCGUAAUCCAACUUAAGAGUACACAUCGAAAGUUGGGUUUGCGACCUCGAUGUUUGGUAAA
rnacentral:rRNA from 1 species